CAGUAGCCGCGGUAAUACGUAGGUGGCAAGCGUUGUCCGGAAUUAUUGGGCGUAAAGGGCUCGCAGGCGGUUUCUUAAGUCUGAUGUGAAAGCCCCCGGCUCAACCGGGGAGGGUCAUUGGAAACUGGGAAACUUGAGCGCAGAAGAGGAGAGUGGAAUUCCACGUGCAGCGGUGAAAUGCGUAGAGAUGUGGAGGAACACCAGUGGCGAAGGCGACUCUCUGGUCUGUAACUGACGCUGAGGAGCGAAAGCGUGGGGAGCGAACAGGAUUAGAUACCCCCGUAGUCCCUGUCUCUUAUAU
rnacentral:rRNA from 1 species